rnacentral:ncRNA from 1 species
AAAAGGAAUCUUAAUUUAAACGUAGCAAAAAUGCCUCCUUUUGAAUAAGCGGAUUCCAAUAAAAAAAGCCCCGAAUAAUCGGGGCUUUUUUUAUAUCU